rnacentral:rRNA from 1 species
GGUAUGUAAAGCUCUAUCAGCAGGGAAGAUAAUGACGGUACCUGACUAAGAAGCACCGGCUAAAUACGUGCCAGCAGCCGCGGUAAUACGUAUGGUGCAAGCGUUAUCCGGAUUUACUGGGUGUAAAGGGAGCGCAGGCGGUGCGGCAAGUCUGAUGUGAAAGCCCGGGGCUCAACCCCGGUACUGCAUUGGAAACUGUCGUACUAGAGUAUCGGAGGGGUAAGCGGAAUUCCUAGUGUAGCGGUGAAAUGCGUAGAUAUUAGGAGGAACACCAGUGGCGAAGGCGGCUUACUGGACGAUAACUGACGCUGAGGCUCGAAAGCGUGGGGAGCAAACAGGAUUAGAUACCCUGGUAGUCCACGCCGUAAA